AUUUCAUACCAUCCCUACACAAUCUUGGACCUCAAACUCCAACUCCCCUCAAAUCUUCCUGGAUGCUGGCAUAGGGCAUAUUGACCACACUGUGUUGCUGGUGAUUGCAGCUCUUGUAAUCAUGCAUUUCUACUUAAUCAGCAAUGAGAAGCCAAAG